GUCAAAAGCUAUUCCUAGGGUUAAACAAAACCUGCAUGCUCCUUAUCUGUAUACACUUGGGAUCCACUCAGUGCUAUUUUAUGUUAAUUCUAUCUUUAAAGAACCACUGAAGUCACCCAUAUCACAUCAUCUCAAACAAGUGGUCUGAGUUUAGUGGUCCUGUAAUUUUAGUCCUGCAAUGUAAAACAUUGCAAGUUUUUAAAAACAGCAAUGUUUACAGUGCAGCGUUAAACAUUCUAGUGGCUGUCCACGU